rnacentral:lncRNA from 1 species
CCGCAUUUCAUUAUGGGGUUAUUCCGUAAUUACUCAGCAGGUCCUGGUGUUUGCUAAUGGAGAAGUGACCGUACAUAGUGCUACUAAAUUAUUGUUACAUUGUUGUAAAAGAUAAUUAGAGAGUGGGGAACAGAGACAGGCAUUGUUUAAAGAGCCUUAGGAGAAAACAGCCACAGAGCAAACUCUUUAUGUCCUUGAGCUGGCUUGGUAACACUCAGUGCUUGGACCUUACCUACCACAGGUGGAGCAGCCCGUGUAACAGCUCCGGGCAGGCGCUGUCUUCAUGAUUUACAUGAGCCUCUUUCCCUGUCAGGGUCUGCAAAUCAUCUAUGGCAAGGAACACUCAAGUUGACUGGAGUCCGUGGUCUCCUGCUCUCUUUUCUGUUUGGUUUGGUAAUGUGCUUGAGAGUUGCUGAUGGCCUUUGAGACUGGGGCUUGAUCAAUCGAUACAACCUUGGCUGGCUUGGAAUUUGCUAUAGACCAGGCUGCCCUCAAACUCGUAGAGAUCUGCCUGCCUCUGCCUCCUGAUUAUCGGGAUUAAAGGUGUGCACUACUGUGCCGGCUUUACUUGUGUUUUAUCUAAAAACUGAUAGAAUAUGUGAAGUGGAAAUGUAAGGGUCCUUUGGAAAGUAGGCUGGAUCGUGUUUUGCUGGGCAAACACAUGAAGGAACAUUUUGUUGAAGUGGACACAGGUGUGAGAGGCUAAGGUAGACUCGUGAAGGAACGUUUCACUGAAGCAGACACAGGAGAGAGGAUGUUCUGCUAAAGCAAGCAUGUGAAAGGACACGUGAUGAAGGAUUCUUUGCUAAUGACAGGCAUGUAUUGGUUCACCUUACACUGUGUAGUUGAGCUGCAUUUGUGGGGAUGCCAUAAAGAGAAACAUACCUAAUAAACUUCUGGUGGUGUGUUGCA